AUUGAACGCUGGCGGCAGGCUUAACACAUGCAAGUCGAGCGGGGUGAUGGUGCUUGCACUAUCACUUAGCGGCGGACGGGUGAGUAAUGCUUAGGAAUCUGCCUAUUAGUGGGGGACAACAUCUCGAAAGGGAUGCUAAUACCGCAUACGUCCUACGGGAGAAAGCAGGGGAUCACUUGUGACCUUGCGCUAAUAGAUGAGCCUAGGUCGGAUUAGCUAGUUGGUGGGGUAAAGGCCUACCAAGGCGACGAUCUGUAGCGGGUCUGAGAGGAUGAUCCGCCCCACUGGGCCUGAGACACGGCCCAGACUCCUACGGGAGGCAGCAGUGGGGAAUAUUGGACAAUGGGGGGAACCCUGAUCCAGCCAUGCCGCGUGUGUGAAGAAGGCCUUAUGGUUGUAAAGCACUUUAAGCGAGGAGGAGGCUCUUUUGGUUAAUACCCAAGAUGAGUGGACGUUACUCGCAGAAUAAGCACCGGCUAACUCUGUGCCAGCCGCCGCCGUAA
rnacentral:rRNA from 1 species